rnacentral:rRNA from 1 species
UUCAGAGGUCUCAAGCGUUGUUCGGAUUCAUUGGGCGUAAAGGGUGCGUAGGUGGCGCCAUAAGUCAGGUGUGAAAUCUCGGGGCUUAACUCCGAAACUGCAUUUGAUACUGUGGUGCUUGAGGACUGGAGAGGAGACUGGAAUUCACGGUGUAGCAGUGAAAUGCGUAGAUAUCGUGAGGAAGACCAGUGGCGAAGGCGGGCCUCUGGACAGUUCCUGACACUGAGGCACGAAGGCCAGGGGAGCAAACGGG